UACAGAGGUGGCAAGCGUUGUUCGGAAUUACUGGGCGUAAAGGGCGAGUAGGUGGCCAUCUAAGUCAGACGUGAAAUCCCCCGGCUUAACCUGGGAACCGCGUCUGAUACUGGACGGCUUGAGUAUGGGAGAGGAACGUAGAAUUCCAGGUGUAGCGGUGAAAUGCGUAGAUAUCUGGAGGAAUACCGGUGGCGAAGGCGGCGUUCUGGACCAUUACUGACACUGAAUCGCGAAAGCUAGGGGAGCAAACGGG
rnacentral:rRNA from 1 species